ACACGUAGGAGGCAAGCGUUAUUCGGAUUUACUGGGCGUAAAGCGCGUGCAGGCGGUCUGGUAAGUUGGAUGUGAAAGCUCCCGGCUCAACUGGGAGAGGUCGUUCAAAACUGCCGGACUAGAGGACGGUAGAGGGAGGUGGAAUUCCCGGUGUAGUGGUGAAAUGCGUAGAUAUCGGGAGGAACACCAGUGGCGAAGGCGGCCUCCUGGGCCGUUCCUGACGCUAAGACGCGAAAGCGUGGGGAGCGAACGGGAUUAGAAACCCGAGUAGUCC
rnacentral:rRNA from 1 species